AACGAACGCUGGCGGCAUGCCUAACACAUGCCAGUCGAACGAGACCUUCGGGUCUAGUGGCGCACGGGUGCGUAACGCGUGGGAACCUGCCCUUAGGUUCGGAAUAACUCCCCGAAAGGGGUGCUAAUACCGGAUAAUGUCUUCGGACCAAAGAUUUAUCGCCUUUGGAUGGGCCCGCGUUGGAUUAGCUAGUUGGUAGGGUAAAAGCCUACCAAGGCGACGAUCCAUAGCUGAUCUGAGAGGAUGAUCAGCCACACUGGGACUGAGACACGGCCCAGAAUCCUACGGGAGGCAGCAGUGGGGAAUAUUGGACAAUGGGCGAAAGCCUGAUCCAGCAAUGCCGCGUGAGUGAUGAAGGCCUUAGGGUUGUAAAGCUCUUUUACCCGGGAUGAUAAUGACAGUACCGGGAGAAUAAGCGCCGGCUAACUCCGUG
rnacentral:rRNA from 1 species